AGUAUACCUUAUCACAGGAUCAUCUAAAAAAUAUUAAUGUGAUUUACAUAAAGGUGCUAACAGCAAUGGGGACCUCAUUACCUUUGGGGAGACUGCCUGUUCUCCUAAAAGUGAAUUUAGAGAACUUACAGAC
ensembl:snoRNA